UUUUUAUGUGGACCUCCGUUCUUGUGCCUCUGGUGCUUGGAUGGAACCACAUAAGCAGGUGAAACUUCUUAGAGGAACUGGCGCCCGAAAAGGCGCACGAGAAAGAGCAAUAACAGGUCUGUGAUGCCCUAAGAUGUCCGGGGCCGCACGCGUGCUACAAUGACGAUGCUACUGAGCAUGAUUAACUUGUCCGAAAGGAUUGGUGAAACUGUUCAAUCAUCGUCGUGACUGGGAUUGGGGUUUGCAAUUAUCCCCCAUGAACCAGGAAUUCCUAGUAAGCACAAGUCAUAAGCUUGUGCUGAUUACGUCCCUGCCCUUUGUACACACCGCCCGUCGCUACUACCGAUUGAAUGGUUUAGCAAGGACAUUGGAUUGAGCCCUUGCGGUUUCGGCUGCUUGGGUUUGAGAAGAUGUCCGAACUUGAUCAUUUAGAGGAAGUAAAAGUCGUAACAAGGUUUCCGUAGGUGAACCUGCGGAAGGAUCAUUA
rnacentral:rRNA from 1 species